CCGCCCCUCGCGCCCCUCCUGCUUCCCAGCGCCCUCGCGGCCCAGUGGCUCCUGUGCGCCAGAGUCAGCCGCGGAGACUGGGCGGCCGCGGGGACCGCCGCGGGCUCGGCGCCGGUUCCCGGGCUCAACACUGCCACUAUCUGACACAACAGGAGCAGUGUUGGGGGGGAGCCGCGCGCGGUGGCGCGAGAUGUGAUAGGCUCUCGAAACUAGUACCUGGAAUGCAGGUGGUGCCAUCUUGAAGCAUGAGGUUGAGACCACGCACUACAGAGCAACCAGGAAUUUUAAAGGUUGAAUUUCUAUGAUUCCGUGCCUGACCUUUUGUGGUUGAGAGGAGGAACAGAGUGGCUGUCACAGAUUUGGCUCUUCUGUCUGUCACAUGGAUUGAAAGCGGAGCCUCCGGAAUUGGAGACUGCUGGGAGGUGAGCCAAUUCCAGGGAUGGGAGAAAGUCUGAAGUGGUGAUGGGCCAGCCUUCUUUAGCAUCUUGGCCUGGCACAGAGCUGAGCAGGUGCACAGUAUCAGGUCUGAUUGAGCUGCUCAUGCUCAGGCUUCCAACACUCUUAAAGACGUUCUUCUGAGGAACACGUCCUCCACUCUCUAUCCUCCUCAUUUGUACUCCAUGUUAAAAAAGGAAACCAACUCCAAACAAGAAAAAUGUUAAUUAAGAU
rnacentral:lncRNA from 1 species